rnacentral:lncRNA from 1 species
ACCUGGCUAAUUUAUUGGUAUCUAAGAAAAGCAACGGGGGGAUCCACCUUACUUACCUAGCCAAUUUGAUUAAGCGAUCUUGAUAUUGAAAAAUCUUAAUGUUAAAAAUACUACUAGGGGCCUUCCUUCUGCUGGAUUAAUGUUAUAUCAUGAACUAUGGUUUGUUUGUUGUGUUACCAUAGGGCUUGUCAUAAGGAUUGAUAUAACAUAAUCCUAGUGCAUAGAAGA